GGCGUGCCUAAUACAUGCAAGUCGAGCGGACUGAUGGGAGCUUGCUCCCUGAUGUUAGCGGCGGACGGGUGAGUAACACGUGGGCAACCUGCCUGUAAGACUGGGAUAACUCCGGGAAACCGGGGCUAAUACCGGAUAACCCGUUCCACCUCAUGGUGGAACGGUAAAAGAUGGCCUCUGGCUAUCACUUACAGAUGGGCCCGCGGCGCAUUAGCUAGUUGGUAAGGUAACGGCUUACCAAGGCGACGAUGCGUAGCCGACCUGAGAGGGUGAUCGGCCACACUGGGACUGAGACACGGCCCAGACUCCUACGGGAGGCAGCAGUAGGGAAUCUUCCGCAAUGGACGAAAGUCUGACGGAGCAACGCCGCGUGAGUGAUGAAGGUUUUCGGAUCGUAAAGCUCUGUUGUUAGGGAAGAACAAGUGCCGUUUGAAUAAGGCGGCACCUUGACGGUACCUAACCAGAAAGCCACGGCUAACUACGUGCCAGCAGCCGCGGUAAUACGUAGGUGGCAAGCGUUGUCCGGAAUUAUUGGGCGUAAAGCGCGCGCAGGCGGUCUCUUAAGUCUGAUGUGAAAGCCCACGGCUCAACCGUGGAGGGUCAUUGGAAACUGGGAGACUUGAGUACAGAAGAGGAGAGUGGAAUUCCACGUGUAGCGGUGAAAUGCGUAGAUACGUGGAGGAACACCAGUGGCGAAGGCGACUCUCUGGUCUGUAACUGACGCUGAGG
rnacentral:rRNA from 1 species